UGAGGAAUAUUGGUCAAUGGGCGCAAGCCUGAACCAGCCAUCCCGCGUGCAGGAAGAAGGCGCUAUGCGUCGUAAACUGCUUUUCCAGGGGAAGAAAUUUAUCUACGUGUAGGUAAUUGCCGGUACCCUGGGAAUAAGCAUCGGCUAACUCCGUGCCAGCAGCCGCGGUAAUACGGAGGAUGCGAGCGUUAUCCGGAUUUAUUGGGUUUAAAGGGUGCGUAGGCGGAUUAAUAAGUCAGUGGUGAAAACCUGCAGCUUAACUGUAGAACUGCCAUUGAUACUGUUAAUCUUGAGUACGGUCAAGGUAGGCGGAAUGUGUAAUGUAGCGGUGAAAUGCUUAGAUAUUACACAGAACACCGAUUGCGAAGGCAGCUUACUGGGCCGCAACUGACGCUGAUGCACGAAAGCGUGGGGAGCGAACAGGAUUAGAUACCCUGGUAGUCCACGCCGUAAACGAUGAUCACUCGCUGUUGGCGAUACACAGUCAGCGGCUAAGCAAAAGCAUUAAGUGAUCCACCUGGGGAGUACGGCCGCAAGGCUGA
rnacentral:rRNA from 1 species